CCUACGGGAGGCAGCAGUGAGGAAUAUUGGUCAAUGGACGCAAGUCUGAACCAGCCAUGCCGCGUGCAGGAAGACGGCCCUAUGAGUUGUAAACUGCUUUUGUACGAGGGUAAACGCAGAUACGCGUAUCUGUCUGAAAGUAUCGUACGAAUAAGGAUCGGCGAACUCCGUGCCAGCAGCCGCGGUAAUACUGAGGAUUCAAGCGUUAUCCGGAUUUAUUGGGUUUAAAGGGAGCGUAGGCGGGCUGAUAAGUUAGAGGUGAAAGCCCGGGGCUCAACUUCGGAAUUGCCUGUGAUACUGUUCGGCUAGAGAGUAGUUGCGGUAGGCGGAAUGCAUGGUGUAGCGGUGAAAUGCUUAGAGAUCAUGAAGAACACCGAUUGCGAAGGCAGCUUACCAAGCUACUACUGACGUUGAGGCACGAAAGCGUGGGGAGCAAACAGGAUUAGAUACCCGAGUAGUC
rnacentral:rRNA from 1 species